AUUGAACGCUGGCGGCAUGCCUAACACAUGCAAGUCGAACGGUAACAGAGCAUCUGGUUCCGCCGAGUGGCGAACGGGUGAGUAAGGCAUCGGAACGUAACCUGACGUGGGGCGUAGGGCAGCGAAAGGUAUGGUAAUCUAGCAUCUCAUCUGAGUAGAUGUUCGGGGGACUGCGCUGCAAUGUUUGACCUCGCGCCCUUCGAGCGGCCGCGGUGGGAUUGGCUAGUUGGGGGGGUAAAGGCCCACCCAGGCGACGCUCCGUAGCUGGUCUGAGAGGAGGACCGGCCACACUGGAACUGGGACACGGCCCAGACUCCUACGGGAGGCAGCAGUGGGGAAUUUUGGACAAUGGGCGAAAGCCUGAUCCGGCAAUGCCGCGUGGGGGAAGAAGGCCUUCGGGUGGUAAACCCUGUUUGGCGGGAACGAAAAGGUGUAGGGUAAUACCGGGAGAUAAUGACGGUACCUGAAGAAUAAGCACCGGCUAACUACGUG
rnacentral:rRNA from 1 species